GCUCUCCCUCUUGCUGUGUGCUCUGUGUGCUCCAUGUUCCUCAGUUUCAAUGUAGUUUGAACUUAAUUCUCGAGUUGUUGAUUUUUGCCUCAUCAAAUUGUUUUGUAUUACUUAUUUUCAGAGGUGGGAAGCACAAAUACUUCGUUACUGUGCUGAAGAACAAUUUUCAGCAGAAUGAGUGGAAGCUUCCUCUCCAAAGAGCCUCAGGCAUACCUGCCUCACCCAGAGUCAGACCAGGCUGAGCACAUAGCCGGAUACACGUAGAGUGGAGCUAAGGGGAUGGAUGAUCUUGGUCUUGAGAAUGUGAGGUGCAGAAGUGGACCAGAGCAGCUGCUAUGGAAUCGAGGGAGAGAAAGAGAAGGCAAGAGAAGAGGAAAGAGAGAAGUUUCUUCUGACUUGCUGCCAUGUCAUGUAGUUCUCCCAUAAAUCUCUGUCCCAUAGAGAGGAACAGGGAGAGAGAGGGGGGGUGAGAAAGCAGCUUGCGUUUGCAUUUCAUUCGCAUGGCUUUCUCUCCAUUCUGCCCUUCCUCCCCUCCCCUAGCGCUGUUUAUUUUCAGCCCUCCACAUACUCCGAAGGCCUGUGAAGUAAUUAUUUCAUAAAGUUACACCUCUGCUGUCACAGAUGACCACAGUUGGCCAGCACUUAAAAAGCCUGAGCUAAUGAUUAAUGUUUGAAGGCAGGCAGCCAGGGAAAAUCACGGCCUACCUCAAUUUGUAGAAAUGCCUUCUGCAUGACAAAUAGAUGGAAGGGGCACCAAGGGCAUCAGACGCAGAAAAACG
ensembl:lncRNA